GAUGAAGAACGUAGCGAAAUGCGAUAAGUAAUGUGAAUUGCAGAAUUCAGUGAAUCAUCGAAUCUUUGAACGCACAUUGCGCCCAUUAGUAUUCUAGUGGGCAUCCCUGUUCGAGCGUCAUUUCAACCCUUAAGCCUAGCUUAGUAUUGGGAAUCGACUUUACUGUCGUUCCUCAAAUUCAACGGCGGAUUUAUAGCAAUCUCUGAACGUAGUAAUUUUUUUUCUCGUUUUUGAAAUACUAUAAACCUCAGCCGCUAAACCCCCAAUUUCUUAUGGUUGACCUCGGAUCAGGUAGGAAUACCCGCUGAACUUAAGCAUAUCAAUAAGCGGAGGA
rnacentral:misc_RNA from 1 species